CCUACGGGUGGCAGCAGUGAGGAAUAUUGGUCAAUGGGCGAGCGCCUGAACCAGCCAAGUCGCGUGAGGGAGUACUGCCCUAUGGGUUGUAAACCUCUUUUGUCGGGGAGCAAAAGCCGGACGUGUCCGGCUGUGAGAGUACCCGAAGAAAAAGCAUCGGCUAACUCCGUGCCAGCAGCCGCGGUAAUACGGAGGAUGCGAGCGUUAUCCGGAUUUAUUGGGUUUAAAGGGUGCGCAGGCGGAUUUUUAAGUCAGCGGUAAAAUCGUGGGGCUCAACCCCAUCCAGCCGUUGAAACUGGGGAUCUAGAGUGUGCGAGAGGUAUGCGGAAUGCGUGGUGUAGCGGUGAAAUGCAUAGAUAUCACGCAGAACCCCGAUUGCGAAGGCAGCAUACCGGUGCACAACUGACGCUCAGGCACGAAAGCGUGGGUAUCGAACAGGAUUAGAUACCCCUGUAGUC
rnacentral:rRNA from 1 species